rnacentral:rRNA from 1 species
UACGUAGGUGGCAAGCGUUGUCCGGAUUUACUGGCGUAAAGGGCGCGUAGGCGGUUUGUACAGUCAGACGUGAAAUUCCCGGGCUCAACCUGGGGGCUGCGUUUGAUACGUGCGGACUUGAGUUCGGAAGAGGGUCGUGGAAUUCCCAGUGUAGAGGUGAAAUUCGUAGAUAUUGGGAAGAACACCGGUGGCGAAGGCGGCGACCUGGUCCGAUACUGACGCUGAGGCGCGAAAGCGUGGGGAGCAAACAGG